rnacentral:rRNA from 1 species
UACGUAGGGGGCAAGCGUUGUCCGGAUUUACUGGGCGUAAAGAGCGUGUAGGCGGCCAAACAGGUCCGUUGUGAAAACUGGAGGCUUAACCUCCAGACGUCGACGGAAACCGUAUGGCUAGAGUCCGGAAGAGGAGAGUGGAAUUCCUGGUGUAGCGGUGAAAUGCGCAGAUAUCAGGAAGAACACCGAUGGCGAAAGCAGCUCUCUGGGACGGUACUGACGCUGAGGCGCGAAAGCGUGGGGAGCGAACAGG